rnacentral:rRNA from 1 species
UACGAAGGGGGCUAGCGUUGUUCGGAAUUACUGGGCGUAAAGCGCACGUAGGCGGCCAUUUAAGUCAGGGGUGAAAUCCCAGAGCUCAACUCUGGAACUGCCUUUGAUACUGGGUGUCUAGAGUAUGGAAGAGGUGAGUGGAAUUCCGAGUGUAGAGGUGAAAUUCGUAGAUAUUCGGAGGAACACCAGUGGCGAAGGCGGCUCACUGGUCCAUUACUGACGCUGAGGUGCGAAAGCGUGGGAAGCAAACAGG